rnacentral:rRNA from 1 species
UACGUAGGGUCCGAGCGUUGUCCGGAAUUACUGGGCGUAAAGAGCUCGUAGGUGGUUUGUCGCGUUGUUCGUGAAAACUCACAGCUUAACUGUGGGCGUGCGGGCGAUACGGGCAGACUUGAGUACUGCAGGGGAGACUGGAAUUCCUGGUGUAGCGGUGGAAUGCGCAGAUAUCAGGAGGAACACCGGUGGCGAAGGCGGGUCGCUGGGACGGUACUGACGCUGAGGCGCGAAAGCGUGGGGAGCAAACAGG